GAAGACCGCGGCCCCGUCCCCGCGCCUCCACCGCCUUCUUCCAGGAGGAGGGGCCGUGCGGCGCCUGCCCGGGGGCCCUCAGGCCGCAGGCGGGCGCGAGCUUCAGGGAACUUAGGGGGCUCCCGCCUCCCCGGCCACGCGAGCGGGAACAGUCUCCUCCACUCGGAGCGCCACUCAUCAUGCCUUACCUGGAUGAUGCAGAAGUCCCUGGAAACAGAAGGUCUCACCCUUCUUUAUCUUUCUCAUGGCUUUCCAAGGCUCUUUAUCAUGUUACUUUCCUGCUCAGAAUUCUUUAAUGACUUGCCUCAAUGACCAGAUACAUGUGAUCUACAGUCAGCCUUCCAGCCUCAUCAUUCCUCUUCCAUUUCCUCCCCAGAAACACUGUACUUUAUGAAGCUCCUCCAAGACAUUAUAGAUCCAGACUCCUGUGCCUGACCACUGCCCAUGGCCAACUCUCUGCUGAUGACUGGACUUGACUACACAAGUUGUUGGAAAAAGAAAAAAACAAUUUCAAAACUCAUAUGGGACCACUGAUGACCACCAAUAGCUAAAGCAAUCCCAAGAAAGAAGGACAAAGUUGGAGGCCUCACACUUCUUGAUUUCAAAUUACAUUACAACGCUGCAGUAAUUAAGAGUAUAUACUAUCAUAAAGAUGGACAUACUGCCCAGUGGAACAGAAUGGAGAACCCAGAAAUAAAUUCACACAUAUAUGGUCAACUGAUCUUUGACAAGGGUGCCAAGAAUACACAACGGAGAAAGGCUUUUCUCUUCAACAAAUGGUACUGGGAAACACACAAAAGAAUGAAAUUGUACCUUUCUAUUAUAUACAAAAUCAAAUCAAAUAUAUUAGAAACUUAAACCUAAGACCCAAAACUGUAAAACUCCAAGAAAAACAUAGGGAAAAACUUUAUGACUUUGUCUUGGCAAUGACUUCAUGGAUAUAACACGAAAAACACUAUCAACAAAAACAAAAACAACAUGAGACUACAUCAAACUAAAAAGCUCCUGUGCAGCAAAGGAAACAAUCAACGGAGUGAAAAGGCAAUUGAUGAAAUGAAAGAAAUAUCCAUGAACCAUCUAUCUGAUAAAGGACUAAUCUCCAAAAUAUAUAAGGAACUUCUAUAAUUCAAUAGCAAAAAAACCACAUGACCUGAUUUAAAAAUGAGCUAAGGUUUUGAAUAGACAUUUCUCCAAAGAAGAUACAAAUGGCCAACAAAUAUAAGAAAAAAUGCUCAAUGUUACAAAUCAUUUGGAAAAUGCAAAUAAAAACCACCAUGAGAUUUUACUUCACACCUGUCCAGAUGGAUAUCAUCAAAAAAAAAAAAAGGACAAAAUGUACUGAUGAGGAUGUGGAGAAAUAGGAACGCUGGCACACUGUUGGUGGAAAUGCAAAAUAGUGAAGCUGCUACAGAAAAUACUAUGAAGAUUCCUCAAAAAAUUAAAAAUAGAACUUCCAUAUAUAUGAUUCAGCUAUUCCACUUCUGGAUAUUUAUCAAAAGAGUUGAAACCAGGAUCUUAAAGAGAUAUCAGCAGCACUAUUCGCAAUAGUCAAGAUGCAGAAAUAACCUAAAUGUCCAUUGACAGAUGAAUAGAUACAGAAUAUGCGAUAUAUACAUUGAAAUAUUAUCAGCCUUAAAAAGGAAGGACAUUCUAUAAUAUGCAAUGACAUGAUGAACCUGGAGGACAUCAAGCUAAGUGAAAUAAGCCAGUCACAGAAAGACCAAUACUGCAUUAUUCCACUUAUAUGAAGUAUCCAAAAUAGUCAGAUUCAUAGAAUCAAAGAAUGAAAUGGUGUUUGCCAGGGAAUAGCAGGAGGGGGGAAUAGAGAGUUAUGAAUCAACAGGCAUAAGGCUCCAGUCAAGCAAGAUGAAUGAGCUCUAGAGAUUUGCUGUACAACAUUGUACCUAGAGUCAACAAUACUGUAUUGUCUGUUUAAAAUUUGUUAAGCAGUAAGUCUCAUGUUAAGUGUUUUUACC
rnacentral:lncRNA from 1 species